rnacentral:rRNA from 1 species
CCGACGGUGAGAGGCGAAAGCUAGGGGCACGAACCGGAUUAGAUACCCGGGUAGUCCUAGCCGUAAACGAUACUCGCUAGGUGUCGGCAACGGUGCGACCGUUGUCGGUGCCGUAGGGAAGCCGUGAAGCGAGCCACCUGGGAAGUACGGCCGCAAGGCUGAAACUUAAAGGAAUUGGCGGGGGAGCACCACAACGGGUGGAGCUUGCGGUUUAAUUGGAUUCAACGCCGGAAAUCUUACCGGGACCGACAGCAAUAUGAAGGCCAGGCUGAAGACUUUGCCGGAUUAGCUGAGAGGUGGUGCAUGGCCGUCGUCAGUUCGUACUGUGAAGCAUCCUGUUAAGUCAGGCAACGAGCGAGACCCACGCCCACAGUUGCC